rnacentral:tRNA from 1 species
GUUUUGGUGGCCCAGUCUUUAAGGCGUCGGUCUUGUAAGCCGAAGACCGGAGGUGAGAUUCCUCCCCAAAACA